rnacentral:rRNA from 1 species
CGGAACGGGUGAGUAAUACAUCGGAACGUGCCCGAUCGUGGGGGAUAACGAAGCGAAAGCUUUGCUAAUACCGCAUAAGAUCUACGGAUGAAAGCAGGGGACCGCAAGGCCUUGCGCGAACGGAGCGGCCGAUGGCAGAUUAGGUAGUUGGUGGGAUAAAAGCUUACCAAGCCGACGAUCUGUAGCUGGUCUGAGAGGACGACCAGCCACACUGGGACUGAGACACGGCCCAG